AUUCCUGUGCUUAAUGACCAUAAGCCUUUAUUAUGAACAUCGCAUUUUUGACCAUAUAAUUAAUAAAUUGCAAUAAAAUGUUCGCCAAUUUUACUAUUAUGAUUUGGUAGCUUGUAACAAGUGCAGAUGCUCUCAUCUGCUUGCUGAAAUUAUGAAUGCUGUGUAUGUUUUUGACAGGUGAAAAAUAUCUCUAUGGAGAGACUAGACUUCUAUGAAAACCACAGAAUGAUCACAGAUGAUAGAAUCAAGAUACUUUGUACCUGCAUUAUGGAAAACAGUAUUUGAGAGAUUGCUAUAUUGAAGGAAGCGUGGAUUUCAUCUUUGGCAAUAGUACUGCUCUCUUGGAGCAUUGUCAUAUCCACUGCAAGUCAGCAGGUUAUGUUACUGCCCAAAGCAGGAAAUCUUGUCAGGAGACAACUGGUUAUGUGUUCUUGAGAUGUGUGAUCACUGGCGUUGGAGGAACUUCAUAUGCAUAUCUUGGACGACCAUGGGGACCUUUGGG